rnacentral:rRNA from 1 species
GGGUCAGUAGGUUGGUCGUGCCACCGGUACGUACUGGUCUCACUGAUUCCUCCUUCCUGAAGAACCGUAAUGCCAUUAAUUUGGUGUUGCGGGGAAACAGGACUGUUGCUUUGAAAAAAUUAGAGUGUUUAAAGCAAGCUAACGCUUGAAUACACUAGCAUGGAAUAAUGAAAUAGGACGAUCGAUCCUAUUUUGUUGGUUUCUAGGAUUGACGUA